GACGAACGCUGGCGGCGUGCCUAAUACAUGCAAGUCGAACGCAGUUUCGAAUGGGUGAGUAACGCGUAGGUAACCUGCCUCAUAGCGGGGGAUAAAUAUUUGAAAAGAUAGCUAAUACCGCAUACUGUGAGAUGGACCGGCUUUGUAUUAGCUAGUUGGUGAGGUAAAGGUCAACCAAGGCGACGAUACAUAGCCGACCUGAGAGGAUGAUCGGCCACACUGGGACUGAGACACGGCCCAGACUCCUACGGGAGGCAGCAGUGGGGAAUAUUCGGCAAUGGACGCAAGUCUGACCGAGCAACGCCGCGUGAGUGAAGAAGGCCUUCGGGUUGUAAAGUACUUUCAGCGGGGAGGCGUUACCCGCAGAAGAAGCACCGGCUAACUCCGUGCCAGCAGCCGCGGUAAUAC
rnacentral:rRNA from 1 species